GUAAUCCUGGAACUGUGGCACCCGUCUGGCAAGGAGAGAAGAGGUCAAUGUCAGCAACGGCUUACCGCGCCUCUGAGCUUCUCGAGUGUGCAGAAGACAGAUCCGGGUUCGCUUAAGCUACAGCUGGAAUGGCCGAAUCCUGGGUGUGAACAGAGGCAAGAGUCUGUGAUUGAGAGUGUGCGUCCACAGCCUGCUGUGCGACCCUGGGCAAAUCACUUGACGUCUCUGGGCCUCAGUUGCUCCAUAUGACGAUGCUGCUUCACGAAGCUUCUCUGCCUUGGCGGCUUCUCAGCACACUCAGGGGAGAAGCCACAUGCUAACCAUGGUCCAUGGGGGUCUACGAAGCCCACCCACUUCUGUCUCUUCGUCUCACACCUCUCUUCUUGUUCCCAAGGUGCCACAAACAGCUAAUCUUCCUUCAGUUUUGUUUUGUUUUGUUUUUUACUAUGUUACUCUGUCUCCCACCCCAGGGCCUUUGCCUAUGCUGUUUCCGCUACCCAACGGUUGGUCCGGCCUUCUUUCUCCUUCAUUAGACCCAGCUUCAGGAUCAUCCCCGAUAAGAGAUGGGGGUGUGCAGCCCACAUCCUUUCCUGUUUGUACUUCUUGGGGUGGUAGCACCCCAAAUUCCCUCUGUGGAAGCAUCCCUCCCACACUCCACGGAGCUCACACGGGGAAGCCACGCCAGGUCCAACAAAUAGAAAGCUGUGAAAGUCUUUCCUUUAGUUUUCCCUGGGGAAGAGCCCUUCAGGCCUCCUAGCAAUGGGGUGGGAAUAGUGGCAUCGUGGCCACACAGGCGGAGCGCUGAGGAAUAAAUGUGACCUUGUGCCCAGGCUUCCAGUAGCUCCUCACACACCCACACCUUCCUGUAACUGAUCCCGAGCCUCCUGGCACCUGCACACGGAAGCUGAGCCCCUUUCGACGGAUCUGACACCCGCAGGCCCCUGUGGGGCGGCCGCCUCCGCUCCGCAAGGCCAGCCCCUCUCAACGUUCAGUUUGCCCUCAGCCUCCAGUGGGUGGCUCCUCUCCCACCCCCUUUGUCCUUCUUGCCAUUUCCCUGGAGGUGGAGAGAGGAGAGCCGACUUAAGGAGAAUGACUGCCCAUCACCACAUCCAGCCAGAGGUUGGUCCCCCAGAAGCGCUCGGUCUUCUCCUCUCGGGAGGUGACCACAACCUUUUCCCGCUGUCCUCGGACCUCCUCCCUCAUCCCCUCCCUGCUCAGACCCAGGAAGUGACCUCAUGUGCUCCAGUCUCCAGAGGGAAGACCAAUAACCACCCUCCAUUUCCGGCCACUUUCUGCAAGCCAGGAACACCAACUCUGCUUAAUCUACGUGGGAAGGAUUUUACUGAAAGGAUGUUGAGUAGCUCACGGGUUCUACAGCGAGACUGCAGGGCAACAGUUCGUCUUAGAGGAGCCAAAACCAGUGCCUGGUCAAGGGACAGAGCCGGCGCCGACUCUGGGCACAGACACUGCUGUUUCCAUCACUAACCCUUCCGGUCCUGGGUCUCGGACACUUCUGCUGAAAUCACAGACGAUGCGUCGUUACCACGCCCACCAGAAUGCUGUCGCUAUAGGACCUGCUUCUUUUUUUUUUUUAAUUUUUUUUUACGUUUAUUUAUUUUUGAGACAGA